ensembl:lncRNA
AAAACACUCUCCUCCCUAAUGCGGGUGGCUCUCCUCCAAUCAUUAGUUGAGGGUUUGAACAGAACAAAAAGGCAGACUCUCCUGUGAUUAAGAGAGAAUUCUUCCCAUUUGACUCCUUGAGCUGGGACAUCACUAUUUUCCUGCUUUUGGAUUCCAACUGAAGCACCAGCUUUUCUUGGGUUGCAAGCCUUCUGGCUUUCAUACUGAAACUACAUCAUCAACUCUCUUAAGUCUCCAGCUUGCCAACUGAAGAUCUUCAGACUUCUCAGCCUCCAUAAUUGUGCAAGUUCUCCGUGAAUUACAGCAAACAUGGCUCUAAGAGUGGCUGACUGCGUGCAGCUGUGAACACCCACCAUGUUAGUAAGGAAGAGUCCCUGCAUCCAUAGCCAACUCUGGUAAAGUUCUCUGGAGCCAAAUCAAGCUGUGAGUCUGAGUCAGACACCCAACCCUCAUGCCUGGUGAGGUGGGACUAGGUUAUUGACAGUCUCACCAGGUCAGUGAGAUGCAGCUACGUUGGAAGCCUGUUUCAGCCUGAACAUGUUAAGUCCAGUCCUCAGCAAGGUGCACAGUCUCACCCAGCUCAACUUGUUUCCUUUUUCAUUAAAAAAUAUUCAUUUAGCUGAACCUGGUCUUCACUGUAGCAUGCCGGAUCUUUGGUCUUCACUGUGGCAUGGGGAAUCUUUAGCUGGGGCAUGCAAACUCUUAGAUGUGGCAAAGAGAAUCCAGUUCGCUGACCAGGGACCAAAUUCAGGCCCCCAGCAUUGGGAGCUCAGACUCUUAGCCACUGGACCCCUAGGGAAGUUCCCUCAGCUUUUUUCUUGUUAAGUCUCCUACCCACUUUCUUCUCAGCACCCAUCACAGUAUCACACAUAAGGUAGGUGUUCAGUAUAAUUUAAAGAUGGUAACAGCUCUCAAAUUAGCAAGGCCUUUAGCUCAAAGUGAAGUCUUCUGCAUUCUUUUUGUCUGCUGUUUGUUCGGUGUGACAAUGUAAAUGUUUUGCCUUGCUCAAUGCACUCCUGAUGUUUUGGAGAUGUGGUAUAUUAGUUAUAUUAGCCUGAGUUUGUUUUGUGGUAGUACCACAUCCCCUUUUGGCACGUAUGACAGAGAGGCAGCCUUAGCCAGUGUCAUACUUUCUUCUCUUACUAAAGACAUAGAUUAUGCUUAUGUAACUCUUGCACCAGUCCAUCCUAAAAGAAAUCAGUCCUGAAUGUUCAUUGGAAGGACUGAUGUUGAAGCUGAAACUCCAAUACUUUGGCCACUUGAUGCAAAGAGCUGACUCGUUUGAAAAGAUCCUGAUGCUGGGAAAGAUUGAAGGUGAGAGGAGAAGGGAACGACAGAGGAUGAGAUGGUUGGAUGGCAUCACCGACUCAAUGAAUAUGAGUUUGAGUAAACUCCAGAAGUUGGUGAUGGACAGGGAGGCCUAGUGUGCUGCAGUCCGUGGGGUUGCAAAGAGUUGGACAUGACUGAGCAACUGAACUGAACUGAACUGAACUCUUGCAUGGGAGAACAACCCAAAAAGUGUUUGAUUUGGGUCCUUACUGACAUUUUGGCCAGUGUAUCGCCAAGAUGUGAGUUUUCUGUUUACAAUUUAUUAAGGUG